rnacentral:rRNA from 1 species
GACAAACCGUGCGAACGUUGUUCGGAAUCACUGGGCAUAAAGGGCGCGUAGGCGGCUUUUCAAGUCAGGGGUGAAAUCCGGCAGCUCAACUGUCGAAGUGCCCUUGAUACUGAGGAGCUCGAGGGAGGUAGGGGUGUGUGGAACUUCCGGUGGAGCGGUGAAAUGCGUUGAUAUCGGAAGGAACGCCGGUGGCGAAAGCGACGCACUGGACCUCUUCUGACGCUGAGGCGCGAAAGCCAGGGGAGCAAACGGG